rnacentral:rRNA from 1 species
UACGUAGGGUGCAAGCGUUGUCCGGAAUUAUUGGGCGUAAAGGGCUCGUAGGCGGUCCAUCGCGUCGGGGAGUGAAAAGCUGGGGCUUAACCCCAGUCCUGCUUCCGAUACGGGUGGACGUAGAGGUAUGCAGGGGAGAACGGAAUUCCUGGUGUAGUGGUGGAAUGCGUAGAGAUCCGGGAGGAACACCAGCGGCGAAGGCGGCAUCCUGGACUGGUCCUGACACUCAGGAGCGAAAGCGUGGGGAG